rnacentral:lncRNA from 1 species
GGGCCAGCCAGCUCCGCCCCUCCAGCUGGACGCGGGAGCGAGGUUGAGGUUCGUACCCGUGGGUUCUCUCCAGGCCUGAGGCGGAGAGCCAGCCGCCUGCCUACCUCUGGGCUUUGAACCCCGGGUCUGGUGACUUCGCUGAAAGACCUCGGGCCGAAGGCCCGCCAGGCUCAACCUCGGUUCACAGGACCCCCGACUUGUGUGAGUCGUACACCGCUCUUUACCGUCUCUGGACCUAGGUCAUCUCGGCAGUAAAAUGGGGUGAAAUGACCCGACCUCCCCGGAGGAUGCCGCGCACGAUGUGUGCCUCAAGUUGGCUUCCACUGACCUGAACUGUUAAGAAAGCCCUCCUCAGUGACGCCUUCCCUGAAUCCACAGUGGAGAUUGCCGUUUUCCUGGAACUAAUUCACCCACACUUACCCAUUUCAUCCCUUUCCACCUUUUAUUUCUACCUUUCUGCCCCACUGAUCUCUAGAAUAGGUGCUGGGAGACGUUAGAGUAUUUGAUCUCCCACUCCCCAGUCAUCCCACUUACCGAGCAGUAAUUCUCUGCCUGGCUGCACAUUGGAAUCACUUGGGAAGCCUCUAAAAAUACUGAUGCCAGGGCUCUACCCCAAGCCAGUUAAAAUCUCCAGCGCUGGACCUGGGCAUUGAUACUUUUUGUAAAGCUUUCAGUUUACCAAGAUGAUGCCAGUAUAGCUAGUGAGAUGCAGCACGCCAUCUUCAGCCCCCUCGCCUCUGGAAGAGACACCAGACUGCAAAGGGCACCGCGUACAGAAGCUAACGGAACUUGAAUGACAAGACAAAAAGAGCAGAACCAGUUAGUGUGACACAACAUUCUAACAUGCCUGAUUCUUUUUUUUUUUUUUUUUUUUUGAGACGGAGUCUUGCUCUUUCGCCCAGGCUGGAGUGCAGUGGCCCGAUCUCAGCUCACUGCAAGCUCCGCCUCCUGGGUUCACGCCAUUCUCCUGCCG